rnacentral:lncRNA from 1 species
UAUUCUGAUCAGGGACCUGCAGUUGGUGAUUCCAACGAUUCUAAUGCAGAUGUACAUUCUGUUACAGUUGGUGAUUCUGGCGUUAGUAAUGCAGAUGAACAUUCUCUUUCUGGGCUCCUAUAUUCUGAUCAGGGACCUGCAAUUGGUGAUUCCAGUGAUUCUAAUGCAGAUGUACAUUCUGUUACAGUUGGUGAUUCUGGUGUUAGUAAUGCAGAUGAACAUUCUCUUUCUGGUCUCCUAUAUUCUGAUCAUGGACCUGCAAUUGGUGAUUCCAGUGAUUCUAAUGCAGAUGUACAUUCUGUUACAGUUGGUGAUUCCGGUGUUAGUAAUGCAGAUGAACAUUCUCUUUCUGGGCUCUUAUAUUCUGAUCUUGGACCUGCA